CUUGGGCCAUGUAUAUCAUGCCAUGUGCUCUCAGCAUGCACAUGCUCAAGUCACCAAGUCCACAAGCUAUAGAGGUCUAAAACAAUGUCAAUCUGCAUUUAACUGAACUUGUAUCAAGAAAUGUAUCAAGAAAUAAGAAGACAAGAAUAAAGCAUUAAAGAAUCAAGCCACUUGGUUAUUACAGUACCCCAUGUAAGAGAUUGUAUAAAUGGAUUGUCAUUGAGGGGCAGUGUUAUGUUUUUGUAACAAUGUACCCCAUGUAAGAGAUUGUAUAAAUGGAUUGUCAUUGAGGGGCAGUGUUAUGUUUCUGUAACAAUGUACCCCAUGUAAGAGAUUGUAUAAAUGGAUUGUCAUUGAGGGGCAGUGUUAUGUUUUUGUAACAAUGUACCCCAUGUAAGAGAUUGUAUAAAUGGAUUGUCAUUGA